GGAGAGCUGGCUCAGUGGUGAAGAGCACUGGCUGCUCUUGCAGGGACCUGGGUUCAAUUCCCAGGAUCCACA
rnacentral:tRNA from 1 species